GGGCUGAAUGGUAAAACUUCUGCCUGAUAUGCAGAAGAUAUCCAGGUUUAAUCCCUGACAUCUCCA
rnacentral:tRNA from 1 species